GCAGGAAGCCAGGUGAUUGCCCGCAAAAAUUUUCGCAAGAAAACUUAGCGGGAGGAAAGUCCGAACACUCCCCGCCACAACUUCUUCACAGAAGAUGUUGGCGGGUCAAUCGGUCAGGGCAAUUCCCUGCCAAGGCAACUUGAGAGGUGCGAACAGAGACGUGCGAAACCGAAAGGUUGAGCACCCAGCUCUCUGUAAAGAGGGCUGGGCGAGCCCUGCAGUAAUGCAGGGGUGAAACGGCUAAAUCCUGCCUGAGUGCAAGAGCAAACCAGAAGGUCUGCUUUCAUGUAGAGCUUUUGGAAAGGUGGCUCGCUUGACCCCGUCCAGUAAUGGGCGGGGCAGAUAGAUGAUCACCCCUGCCCGCAAUGCUGCGCUGUGCUUGCAUGGCGUUGCAGGCGGGCUCGACAGAAUUCGGCUUAUCGGCUUGCUGCGGCA
rfam:Candidatus Wildermuthbacteria bacterium RIFCSPHIGHO2_02_FTLL_49_9 rifcsphigho2_02_scaffold_7100, whole genome shotgun sequence.